UGGACUUGGUUGGCUCAGCAGCAGUAUACACUGUUGGAGCUCCAUUCACUGGGGUUUCAGUUGAGAUAAACGUCUCUUACAUGGAUGCUGCAUAUGCUGAUGUGAGUAUGCUCUCCUGCAUUUACUUUACUAAUUUGCGCGUUCUCUAAAUCACUCAAAAAAAUGUUUGAAAAGAAAACACUCGCAUGGUUGACUAAAAGAAUUUACUGGCAUGUGCACAUUUUCAUGGGAGGAAGACAAAAUUGCCCCUUGAUUAAUUAACAUUGUAAAACAUAAAUUCCUCGUCAAGCAUCCAUUGUUUAACUAUAUAUAAUUUCGUUAUUCUUCAAUCUGUUUAUGCCUUUUUGAUUGUGUUUGUAAUAUGUUAAUAUUAUAGUUCCAAGUUGUACUCGCUUUUCUAUAUAUAUGUGUGUGUGUGUGUGUGUGUGUGUGUGCAGUAGAUAGACAGUAAUUUGAAUCACGGUUUCACAUAGUAAGUGUCUACCAUUGCUACUUGUUGCUCAGGAUGGUGUGUUUCUAACAGGUUAUUGGUUUUCUUAACACUAUGCUUGCAACUUUUGAGUUUCUGCUCAAAUUCCCCAUUGAUUUGUUGAGACAUUUUUCACUACUUGUUGAGUUCUAAUCAGUUUCAUAGCAGACAAUAUUUUGAAUAAACAAACUGGAUAUUGGAAAUAAGCUUUAUGCAAAUUUGGGAUCUUCACUAGUGUUAGAUCUUGCAAUUAUUAUAAAUUGUUGUUAUUGAGGAGUGAAUCUGGUGUCUAGACUAAUGUGAGAAUAAGAGAGCUGGCGACACAAAAGAAGUACUAAAGGGCAUUGGAGUUUACUUUGGCAUGCCUUCUUCGACGGUCAAGUUAGUGAGAAAAGCUUAAAGAGGUUUGAGAGAGUGUGUGGAUCGUGCCUCAUGUCUUAAUCAUAAUGGGGUACAAGGUGCAAUGUGAGAGAUCCAAAGAGUGCCCUUUUAGGGCCUUGGAAUGACUGUAUGACCCUACCUAACAGUUAUAGUCUCCCCAUGAAAAGAAUUUUAUAAGUUAGUCAGAAUCUUUGUUUGCUGGACAAUUCUUUUUUCUGAUGAUCAAUGUGUGCUUCAAUUCAUCAACAGGAAUUAAUGUGCUUUCUUUUACAGCUUUUCUUGGUGUUUUUAGAAUACACUUCUGUAAAAUAUGAGUAGAAAUUUAUUGUGAUGGUCUUCUUUAAGCCUGGACAAGGCUGAAAGAGAAAGGAAAAAAAAAUAAGGGGGGGGGGGGGGGGGGGUGUGGGGGAGUUAGGGGUUUGCUCUAGGCAGUGCUCCUUGUAAUGUAAUUAUGAAUUUCACAGUGCAAGAGUUAAAGAAAAUUCCACUAGAGCUACCUUUCUUUGUGCAUCUAGUUAUUUCUUGGAGAUACCCUUUCUUCUUUGCAUCUUGUAAGUAAUAUAUCAUGUCUAAAUUUUUUAGUUUUGCUUUUCAAGUAACUAAACAACCGUAAGACUGGAAACUUGUAUUUCCUUCUUUUCUUUUGCAUACUUUGAAUGAAAAAAAAGUUUCUUUGCUUUUUUUGGGAGCUUUAAAACAGUAGAGGUGGGAAAGGGCAAUGUUUCUGAUUUAGGGUUCUUGGCAGCAACCUUUGAGAAAUGAUAUAUAAUCCAUUUAUGAAUGUGCUAUGGUUUUGCUUAUGUAGGAAGAAAUUGAGAUAGAAGCAAGGGCUUUGCAUGUUGGGAAGGCAGUUGCUGUUCUCAGUGUUGAGUUUAGGAAGAAAAAUACUGGGAAAAUUAUCGCUCAAGGCCGUCAUACAAUGCACCUGUCUCUACCAAGUAAAAUGUAAAUGACAUUAUAAUUUGAAUAACCAUCCUCAUAAUUCCUCCAUUAGGAAUGAACAAAAUGCGUUGGUUCAUGUGUAUUCAGAAUACACUAUUUAUUCAUGAUUUUUUAUUAGACAACUUUAGUCGAAUUUCAUGUGAAGUUACUUUCUGUGCUUCCUCUAUAUUGUCACAACUUGCCUUGCUUUGCCUGGUUGUUUAAACCGUCUGCCAGCAUGAAUCACUGAAUGGCAUAUUGGAUCUUUAUACUAGUUGUUUUUCCUUUUUCUAUUUUGACAUACUAGCCGAUUUUGUUAUGCAUGAAAUUGCCAAGUUGAUGGGUUUUAAACAACUUAAAAUACAAUAGUUUUACUUGGAUAAAUAUCCUUAGUAGGACUUAACUUUGAUUCAAAAGUCUGUUUAAGGUUUGACCUAGUCAAUAUUGAAUCGGAAUGAAAGAACGAUUGAUUACUUCAUUGCAAUUGAUUGAGUACAGAAGCAAGCCUUUUAUACUUGCUUGUUUUGUACACUGUUAGUAGAAGCUAAUCCUACUUAAAAAGCUUAAAACUCAGUAACAGAGAAGGAUUACAUAAUUAAUGAGUUUAUAUUUGAUACCGAAAUUUUAAAUUUAUUUUUUAAUAACAUCGUUUGAUGUCCUGACAGCGUAUAGAUUAACAUAAUUAGAAUCACAUGCAAACAUAUUUGCAUGUGCUCUUUACUAACUAACUAGUAAUUAAAGGCAUAUGUGCCUUUGUGCUGAUUGACCUUCUAUUAAAACAGAGGGAGAUGGACGUCAGUGGUUAUUGCUGGCCCAUAAUUAGCAACCAAAGUAUAUGUGCAAGAGCCAAGAUCAUUUGGGAGAAGACAAAUUUUGUAUCGGAGGAGCAUAUAUUCUUUUUAAUAUAAUUGUUGCAAAAAGUAAAAAAUAAAGAAGUAUAUUCAAAUAAAAAUAUUAUUUUAACUAUACGUAAAAAAUUAAAAUAUUAAUGGUUAAAAUUUCCAUUUAAUCCCUCUACUUAGGUGUUUUUUUCAAUUUAAUCUUUUUACUCAAAAUAGUGAUAAUUUAAUCCUUUGGUUUUAAAAAUUGUUUCAAUUUAAUCUCUCUAACAUUUUCGUUCAAAUUGAUUGUUAUGAUGUUAACGUAGUAUCUAAUGCUGACGUGAAAUGUGAGGUGGGUUUAAAUUGUUGACAUGGCACUGCCACAUCACUAUGAUAGUGCCACGUAGACAUGUCACAUGGCCUGAUCAGUCUAACAUGUCACUGAUGAUGUGGCAUGUCAAGGUGGAAAAAUUUUCCCUCAAAGUCAAAUUUGGGUUGACAUCAGAGGGACCUAAUUGAAAAAAAAUUUGAAAAACAGGGACCAAAUUGAACAAAAAAAUUAAUAUGUAAAGAGACCAAAUUGAAGCAAAUAUAUAUAUAUAUAAUGUGACUCACUAAUCAGAUUGUUCUCCAUGAGAACAUGGAAGGAAAAAGUUCUCCAGCAAACAAUAUUUUGCACUAAAUAAUAAUUAUAAUUAUAAUAUGAAAGAAGAUACAUCCACUUAUAUUUAUGUGUAAAUCCAUUUACAAAAGCUGUACAGGAGGCUUCGUAAUCCAAAAUAUGUUUGCACAAAACUAUUUUCUAGUAACAUUCUUGUGCAAUAUAUGCCAUUUACAAAAAACAAGUUAUCUAUAAUUAUAUAAUAUUGAUAAACACCGCAACCACUUAUAACUAUUUAAUAAUUUUGACAAAAGCAUGGCAACAACAAGUACCCAACAUUUAAGUACUUAGCAUAUAAAUAAUUAAAAAUCACAACAAAUCCUAGUCAUUUUUACUACUUUCUUGAGUGGGUAGCUCAACUUCAAAUUGUGAUCUCCUAGGUGGCUUAUAUUUGGCCAUUUCUUGUAGCAAUAUAAACAAAAAUAAUGUCAAAAUCUCAAUUUAGCUCACAUUUAUAACAUGAUAGAAUGCAAGUGCAAUUUUGCUCACUAUUAAUUGCCUGCUAGAUAUGAAUGAUGUUGAAUCCCCACGGCCAAUUGCAACAACCAAUUGAUUUGGUUUUCUAGCCUAUACAAUAAAUUGACAUAAUAAACAUAAACUAAAUUUACUCACUAAUAUAACAUGAUAGCAAAAGAUAAACUCCAAACAAAUCAACCAAAUGUAAAUAAUUGUUAAUAAACAUAACAUGACAUGAAGAGGGACUAAAUUUACUCACAUUUAUAAUAGAAAUAUGUUUUAGAGGAGAUGUAGGUGUUUAGGCAAAUUUGGUUUAACUUCUAGAAGCUACUGUCCCCCCUCCCUUAGAGCUUGCUUGCUACAAUUUAGUCCUUGAGGUAGUAACAUCAUUUGAACUAAAGUCUUUAGUACUUGCAGUAGUAGACUGAGCACUUCUACUAGCCCUCAUUUUUAUCCUUUUAGCAACAGUAAAAGCGCUUGACCUAGCAGCACCUUGACUUGCACUAGUAGCAAAUUCCUGCACCAACAACAGCACAUUGACUUGGUGUAUCAGUAGCACCUUCAACUGGGGCACCAGCACCACCUUGACUUGGUAUAGCAGUAGUAGUAGCUUCACUUGGUGCACGAGCAGUGGUAGAAGAUUUCUUCUUUCAACUGUGAGUUUUCUGUGUGCUUGUCUGACCAUAAACAUGAAAAUUAGAAAAAGUUAGUAAUCGACAAUAAUAAAUAAUUAAUAAAUAAAGCUAGAAGAUACUAACUUGCUUCACUAGACAUUUAGACCUAUUAUGUCCUUUAGAACGAUAAAGAGUGCAUUUUAUUUUCCUUUCGACCCUGAACAUCCUUGUCUUAUUUGGGCUUUCAUCUGGUUCUUUUUUCCUCUAUUUCUUGGGUCGUCUUGCAAAUCUUUUCACAUAUGGAGGUAAGACAGCCUCCAUAUUCUACUGAAACCAGAACAUUGGCCCUCUUACAAUAUGGAGCUGUUGGUCAUAUGCCUUGAGAUAUUCAUUUUUUUUAAAAGAGUCUGCCAAAUACUUUGUAGGGUUCUCUCUCUCAUAGUAGUUAACGUUGAUGGCAUGUUGGUAUGACACUCCACCAAUGUCUCAAGCUCUAUAGUUACAUGUCUCAUUCCAUAAACAUAUUGUGUAGCUUUCCUUAACAUAUUUUUUAGCAUCUUCCCAAAAUACUUCAUAAAGAUAGGAACUAUUUUAAUCCACAUUUCAUUUAGUUGCCAACCCUUUAUACUUCUCAAAUUUUCUAAGUAUACGAGGACCAAAAUCAGUUUUUCACUUCAUCCCUUCUACCUUGUUUUACACCAAUCUCCUUAUCACAUAAAACCUGAUAUCCUCGAGCAUGCUGAUUAUAAGCUUGCAUUUGGAUUCUAUUAUAACUUUGUUAAAUGUCUCGCACAUAUUGUUAUCGAUGACAUUACACUUGAUGAAAUUAAAGAACUAUGCUUGACACCAGUGUAUAGGAUCUCAAUUCUCAAGCAAGUGGUUAUGUGCAGCCUCAUUCAUAGACUUGAGAAGCUCCAUUUGCCUCUUGAACUCUAGUUGGUUAAAAGAUCUAGCAUAGCGCCAAAAUUGGUAUUUCAAUUCCUUAUCUCUGAACCUUUUCCCAAACCUCGAGUAGAUGUGUCGUGCAUACCUUUGUUGUUUAACAUAAGGAAGCAACUCAUUGAUAGCAUUUAGCAGCCUUUAUAAUAAGAAAAUACACUUAAUAAGAUGAGGAAUUGAAAUAUCAAUUUUCGCGUUGUGCUAGAUCUUUUAACUAGCCAGAGUUCAAAAGGUAAAUAGAAUUUCUCAAGUCCAUGAAUGAGGCUGCACACAACCACUUACUUGAGAACUAGGAUCCUAUGCAUUGGUGUCAAGCAUAUUUCUUCAAUUUUGCCAAGUGUGAUGUCAUUGACAAUAACAUGUAAGACAUUUAACAGAGUUAUAAAAGAAUCCAGAUGCAAAGCAUGCUCAAAGAUAUCAGACUUUAUGUGAUGAGGAGGUUGAAGUAGAACAAGGCAGAGGGGAUGAAGUGGAAAACUGAUUUCGAUCCUUGCAUAUUCAGAAAAUUAGAGAACUAUAAGGGGUUGAAAGCUAAAUGGGAGGUGGAUUGGAAUGGUUCCCAUAUUCAUGAAGUAUUAUGGGAAGAUGCUGAAAAGCAUGUUAGGAAAAGCUACACAAUAUAUCUACAAAAUGGGAUAUGUACCUAUAGAGCUUAGGACAUCACUGGAGUGCUAUGCCAACAUGCCAUCAAUGUUACUACUAUAAGGGAAAAGAGCUUACAAACUAUCUGACAGAUUCUUUUAAAAAGAGUUAAUAUCUGAAGGCAUAUAGCCAUCAGCUCUAUCUUGUUAGAGGGCCAAUGUUCUAGCCUCAAUGGAAUGUGGAGGUUAUCAUACCUUCAUAUGUGAAGAGAUCUACUAGACAACCUAAGAAGCAGAGGAAAAGAGAACCAGAUGAAGGUUCGAAGAAGAUAAGGAUGUUGAGAAUUGGAAAGAAGAUAAAAUGCACUCUUUGUCGUCAAGGAGGACAUAAUAGGUCCAAAUAUCCAAUGAAGAAGGUCGAUAUCUUUUAACUUCAUUUAUUAAUUAUUUAUUAUUGUUGGUUACUAACUUUUUUCUAAUUUCCAUGUCUAAGGUCAAACAAGCACACAAAAAACUCACAGUUGAAAGAGAAAAUCUUCUGUCACUGCUUGCGUACCAAGUGAAGCCAUUAUUAUUGCUGCACCAAGUCAAUGUGUUGUUAGUAUCUUAAGUGAAGGUGCUGCUGGUGCAUCAAGUCAAUUUGCUACUGGUGGUACAACAAAUAAAUUUGCUGCUGGGUGCAAGUCAAGGUGUUGUUGUGUUAAGUGCUUCUACUAUUGUCAAGAGGAUAAAAGUGAAGGUUUAUAGAAGUACCCAAUUUGCUACUACAAGUAUUGAAGGCUUUAGUUCAAAUGAUGUUAUUGCCCCAAGGACUAGAUUGAAGCAUGCAAGCCCUAAGGGAAAGGGAACAAUAGCUUCUGGAGACCAAACCAAAUCUACCUCAACAUUUACAUCUCCUCCAAGACAUUUUUUUGUUAUAAAUGUGAGUAAAUUUAGUCCCUUUUCAUGUCAGUUAUGUUUAUUAAUAAUUAUCCAUAUUUGAUUGAUUUAUUUGAAGUUUAUCUUUUGUUGUCAUGUUGUAUAGGUGAGUAAAUAUAGUUUAUGCUUAUUAUGUCAAUUUAUUAUAUAAGUUGGAAGACCAAAUCAAUUGGUUGAUUUGGUCUUCCAACUAGUCGUGGGGAUUCAACAUCAUUCAUAUUCAAUAGGCAACUAAUAGUGAGCACAAUUGCACUUGCAUUCAAUCAUGUUAUAUAGGUGAGCUAAAUUGAGAUUUUGACAUUGUUUUUGUUUAUAUUGCCUCAAGAAAUGGCCAGAAAGACGCCACCUAAAAGAUCACAAUCUAAAGUUGAGCUACCGCGGUAAAAAUGACUAUAGUUUGUUGUGAUUUUUAAUUGUUUAAAUGCUAGGUACUUAAAUGUUGGGUACAUAUUGCUCCCAUGUUUUUGUCAAAAAUAUUAUACAGUUAUAAGUAGUUGUCAUGUUUUUGUCAAUAUUAAAUAGUUAUAGGUGGCUUGUUUUUUGUAAAUGGCAUAUAUUACAUAGGAAUGUUGCUAAAAAAUGGAUUUAUGCAAAGUAUAUUUUGGGUUA
rnacentral:lncRNA from 1 species